UACGUAGGGGGCGAGCGUUGUCCGGAUUCAUUGGGCGUAAAGCGCGCGUAGGCGGCUCGACAAGUCGGCCGUGAAAUCUCCAGGCUCAACUUGGAGGGGUCGGGCGAGACUGUCGGGCUCGAGGUGGGCAGAGGGCAGUGGAAUUCCGGGUGUAGUGGUGGAAUGCGUAGAGAUCCGGAGGAACACCAGUGGCGAAGGCGGCUUCCUGGUCUGCAACUGACGCUGUGGCGCGAAAGCUAGGGGAGCAAACGGG
rnacentral:rRNA from 1 species